rnacentral:rRNA from 1 species
GCGAAAGCAGGUCAUAGUGAUCCGGUGGUUCUGAAUGGAAGGGCCAUCGCUCAACGGAUAAAAGGUACUCCGGGGAUAACAGGCUGAUACCGCCCAAGAGUUCAUAUCGACGGCGGUGUUUGGCACCUCGAUGUCGGCUCAUCACAUCCUGGGGCUGAAGUAGGUCCCAAGGGUAUGGCUGUUCGCCAUUUAAAGUGGUACGCGAGCUGGGUUUAGAACGUCGUGAGACAGUUCGGUCCCUAUCUGCCGUGGGCGCUGGAGAACUGAGGGGGGCUGCUCCUAGUACGAGAGGACCGGAGUGGACGCAUCACUGGUGUUCGGGUUGUCAUGCCAAUGGCACUGCCCGGUAGCUAAAUGCGGAAGAGAUAAGUGCUGAAAGCAUCUAAGCACGAAACUUGCCCCGAGAUGAGUUCUCCCUGACUCCUUGAGAGUCCUGAAGGAACGUUGAAGACGACGACGUUGAUAGGCCGGGUGUGUAAGCGCAGCGAUGCGUUGAGCUAACCGGUACUAAUGAACCGUGAGGCUUAACCUU